AUCGAUUUUGUACCUCCUCUGACAUAGAUUCAAAGAGUCACCAAUAAUGACCAGUGCCCAGGUUCAAGCAUUUUUCUUUACCUCUGCAGACUUGAUGAUUUCGAUGAACUCCGGCUGAUGAGGACAGUUAAAAAUUAGAGGCAUAGAUAUAAGGACACGGAUACAAUAGGAGGCAAAAUUUUAAAUGAAAUAAGCACCAUCACAUUACCUUUAGAGAGGCUCCGCCAACCAAAAAGCCAUCAACAUCCGGCUGUGCUGCCAAUUCCUUGCUGUUGGCAGCAUUGACCGAUCCUGAAAGAGGCACCCAAUUAGCAAUCAAAUGAAGAAGGAAGGCGGAAGAGAAUUAAACACCAAUCCAUUCAUUUUUCACCAACCCCUUAAUUAUUUAAGGACAAAAGCUAGCUGUUAGACAACAGCAAGCAAAAAUGCAUAUUAACAGCUUUUGAAUAGAUAUUUGUUUAUUCUGAAAGUGAAAAGUAGUAGUGUUUAAGCAAGGAAAAGGAGAGCUCAACAACAUAGAGGGGCUCCUAAGACAAAGCAAUGUGCUACACUGUUUUCUUUCUCUGACCCCUGUAAAUGCCAAAAGGUUCAUAUCAAAUCUGCUUUGCAAAAUACACUUCAGGUCUCAAGAUUCCAUGGAUGUUUCAAUUGCAUUAUUGUAUAUGUUUUAUCAUUAGAUGCAGGGAAUGCAAACAAUGCACACAGGGCCAAGCUGAGAUCAACUUGGUCCAUUGAGCAAGCAGAAGCUUUACUUAUUCUGUGCUAUGCUUUUCAAAUGUAUUGGCGAUUCAGCCAACAAGGCUGAAAUAGAAUAAAAACCCAGCCCAGGAAUUCAGCCUUCUUGCAAUGAAAGGGAACGCUGCAUACAUCUGUGUGUUGCCAAAACCACAGUUUGCAAGGCCUCAUCUGGUAUGAAACCCUCUUUUAUAUGUCAUAGUAACUACCACUAAACCCAGACUCAAUUCACUUACAAGUCUCAUGGGAGGUUUGACCAUGACGUUUAAGGAGAGGGACGACAUUAGGGAAGGUGAACUCACAUAUUUUCUAGAGGAUGUGUGUGCAUGUGCAGUUGCAAACACCUAUGUUCAAGGGUGCGUGACAUUCAGGAAGAUUGAUUUAGAUGUCUUUCUUAUCAAGUGCAAUGAACAGCUAUGAUUCAAAAUGCUUCUAACAGAGCAUCCAAUUAAGGUUAGCCUACCUCUGUCCAAUAUAAACUUUCAGGCCCAUACGGAAAUGUCCUAGGUAAGAUUACUUUGCUGAUGUAUUCUGGAGAGCUAUUCCCCUAAAAAACAGUAUGCGUUACAUUUACUCCUAGAUUUGUUUAGUCUUAAGACUGAAGAUAAGCCCGUCAACAAAAACACAACCAUAGGUGAGGACAUCAUGACCUACUUUCUGAAAGUUCAAACUGGAGUUCUGCACAGCCCCUCUUGGCUAUAAGCUCGUUCUUACACAAAUAUCUACCUUAUGUUAUGCAGUGCAUUUUUUACUGUAUAAAGUAUAAACUUGAUUCACUUUCAAGAAAUGAAUGAAAACAAAAAGAAAUGAAGAAUCAUAACAAAAUCCACAUCUUUUAGAUUUUACAAAUAACGGAUGGCAUAAUCAGAAAAGAUAAAAGAGUAAGAACUAAGAUGUAGAACUGAUAUACAAACAUACCUCCAUAAAUAAUCCUGGUUGUUGCAGCAACUUCAGGACUGGUGCUCGCUUUAAGCCAUUUCCUCAGUUCAGAAUGUACCUGUUAUAUUGACAAAAUGAUUGCAUGGAAAAAUCUAAUCGAUUGAAAAUAACAUAUAUAUAUAUAUAUAUAAACUGCAGUUCCACUGGAAAUAUCAUUCAGGCAGAUACACCAGUCAAUCAGGCCAACAUUCUAAUCCAACAAAAAGCAAAAGAACAGAGACAAAUCAAUUGGCUAUGUUCACCCAUCCCAAUAAAGCUUUAGGGCAUGUUUUGUAGAAAGGAAAGCUAAGGAACAAAGGUGCAUGGAAUUACAAGGAAAGUAAAACAUCUAUGGAAAGAAAAAUCACUAUUUUUCUUAUAAAUCUUUUCCAUAAGAAAAGGAAAGAAAAUAAAGUGAUUUGGUUAUUUUCCAUGUUUUGAUGAAAAGAAAGAUGAGAGAAUUAUUAUAUUUUUCCUAUUAUGCCAUAUUGAAUAAAUAAAAUUAUAUUAAAAAAUAAUUAUUAGAAGGAAAAAAGAGCAUAAAGGAAAAAUAGAAAAAUUAAUAUUGAUUUCCACUCUUUUUCCCCAAUUUGGAAAGAAAACAAAAUGGAGCAUUUUCCGCACAAAUCCUCACAAUUCUUUUUCUCUCCCUUUUCCUUCUUACAAAACAACGGAAUUGGACUUUUAAUUUUUCCUUCCAACGAAAAAAGGAAAUUGCCUUUCUUUCCCCUUUCCCUGCCAUUUUCCUCUCCCUUUGCCUCACUACAAAACAUUGCCUUAGUAAAAAUGAUAGCCCUAGAAAAUAAGAGCAGAUUCAACAACCUAGAGUAUCUUAAGAUUCCAAUCACUUCUCAUGUACAACAGCUCUAUGUAUAUUAUCUUUUAAACUCUACUUUCUAAAGGAUUAGGCAAUUAUGUCUUCCACAGACAAUAGCAAAGUUAUGCCAUUGUAAACAGAUCUGAGAGUACAAAUAAUUGUCUGCAACCAAAUUAUAAUAUAACAAUAAUAAUUCAGGGAUAUUAAGGCAUAGUUUCCACAAUUAGUAAUUCAGUAAUGUUACCUCCUGUGUAAAUGACUGUCUUUGUAAGGAAGGGAUUUCUGUUAUCAAUUUCUGAUCUGAGUAAUAUCAGAGCCCUAAGAAUAUCCUUUUAAGUCAUUAGUCAUAAGCAUAACCCUUGCAUAAGAUUUCCCCAAUCUCUUUUCUAGGUUCUUACUCUAAUACUGAAAACACUGCAAAUUACUGACACAUUCAAAAUACAAAGAAACAACAACAGUACAUUCAAUGGGCCUAAAUGAGCAUAAUUUCUAUAAAAAAGGCAAGGCUAGACUUACUUCCUGUGCCUGGGCAGGAGUUGCAACCUUCCCUGUUCCAAUAGCCCACACAGGCUCAUAAGCCAAAACCACAUUUGUCCAAUCCUUUACUUGUU
rnacentral:misc_RNA from 1 species